UACGUAGGUGGCAAGCGUUGUCCGGAUUUACUGGGCGUAAAGAGCGCGCAGGCGGUCGAAUAAGUCGAAUGUGAAAGCCCCCGGCUCAACUGGGGAGGGUCAUUCGAUACUGUUCGACUUGAAGGCAGGAGAGGGAAGCAGAAUUCCCGGUGUAGUGGUGAAAUGCGUAGAUAUCGGGAGGAAUACCAGUGGCGAAGGCGGCUUCCUGGCCUGUUCUUGACGC
rnacentral:rRNA from 1 species